UACGGAGGGUCCGAGCGUUAUCCGGAUUUAUUGGGUUUAAAGGGUGCGUAGGCGGCCUGUUAAGUCAGGGGUGAAAGACGGUAGCUCAACUAUCGCAGUGCCCUUGAUACUGAUGGGCUUGAAUAAACUUGAGGUAGGCGGAAUGAGACAAGUAGCGGUGAAAUGCAUAGAUAUGUCUCAGAACACCAAUUGCGAAGGCAGCUUACUAAGGUUUAAUUGACGCUGAGGCACGAAAGCGUGGGGAUCAAACAGG
rnacentral:rRNA from 1 species